UCGAGACAUUAUCCCAACAUACUUGUAUUAACUGUAUUGGCAUAUUUGGUUACAUAUCUGCAUAAGUCGUUUUUGACUCUCAAAUCCAAUGCGCAACACCUGGUAGGGAUGGAACAUGUUUUUUGAAGGUUUUCACCUCCUUCUAAUAGGCUACAUAGGCUACAUAGCGUGACGUAAUCUCUGUAUCUAUUUGGGAAAGCAGUGUGUUCACUCGGUAUAUGGUGAAACCAGCGUCUUGUUUUCAACACUCGUCGCUAUCCAUGGUGCUGAACUGUCUACCGAUUUGUCCCUGCUUCAAACCACCUCUCUCAAUGCAAGGUGUUUAUUGGGGCGUUAAAACACACCACACACACACACACACACACACACACACACCUGGGAUGUGCAUGGGGUGGCUACAGGGGAUAUAUAAAAAACAACAACCCAAUACUAAUAAAACUUGAAACUUAACCCCCCACCAGCCCCUCUCCUCUCUCUUCGUGAGGUUUCCGUUGUGAUGAUGAUGAUGAUGAUGAUGACUGCAUCCCCGCUCUUCCGUCCCUGCUGCUUCCCACUUCUCUCUCACUCCGUUUUCAAUUCAAGGGGCUUUAUUUUAGUGAAACAUAUAUUAACAUCGCUUAAGCAAGUGAGGUAGAUGAUAAACAAUGCAAAUGAACAGUAAAUAUUACACUCACAGAAGUUCCAAAAGAAUAAAGACAUGUGAAAUGUCAUAUUAUUUAUAUUAUUUAUAUAUAUAUAUAUAUAUAUAUAUACAGUGUUGUAACAAUGUACAAAUGGUUAAGGGUACACGAGGGACAAUAAAUAAACAUAAAUAUGGGUUGUAUUUACAAUGUGUCACACCCUGACCAUAGUUUGCUUUGUAUGUUUCUAUGUUUUGGUUGGUCAGGGUGUGAUCUGAGUGGGCAUUCUAUGUUGGAUGUCUAGUUUGUCUAUUUCUAUGUUUGGCCUGAUAUGGUUCUCAAUCAGAGGCAGGUGUUAGUCAUUGUCUCUGAUUGGGAACCAUAUUUAGAUAGCCUGGGUUUCACUGUGUGUUUGUGGGUGAUUGUUCCUGUCUCUGGGUUUUGCACCAGAUAGGGCUGUUUUGGGUUUUCACAUUUCAUUGUUUUGUAGUUUAUUCAUGUAUAGUUUUCCUUUAUUAAACAAACAUGAAUCAUCACCACCCUGCGUUUUGGUCCGCCUCUACUUCACCACAAGAAAGCCGUUACACAAUGGUGUUUGUUCUUCACUGGUUGCCCUUUUCUUGUGGCAACAGGUCACACAUCUUGCUGCUGUGAUGGCACACUGUGGAAUUUCACCCAGUAGAUAUGGGAAUUUAUCAAAAUUGGGUUUGUUUUCUAAUUCUUUGUCGGCCUGUGUAAUCUGAGGGAAAUAUGUGUCUCUAAUAUGGUCAAACACUUGGCAGGAGGUUAGGAAUUGCAGCUCAAAUAGCAUUCUAGUUUGCUCAGUUUUUUUGUAAAUUCUUUCCAAUGUGUCAAGUAAUUAUCUUUUUGUUUUCUCAUGAUUUGAUUGGGUCUAAUUGUGCUGCUGUCCUGGGGCUCUGUAGGGUGUGUUUGUGAACAGAGCCCCAGGACCAGCUUGCUUAGGGGACUCUUCUCCAGGUUCAUCUCUCUGAAGGUGAUGGCUUUGUUAUGGAAGGUUUGGGAAUCACUUCCUUUUAGGUGGUUGUAGAAUUUAACGGCUCUUUUCUGGAUUUUGAUAAUUAGCGGGUAUCGGCCUAAUUCUGCUUCACAUGCAUUAUUUGGUCUUUCUAUGUUGUACAAUACAUUAAGGAUAGUUUUGCAUAAUUGUGAAUUCUUGGUUGGUACGCAGACCCCAGACCUCACAACCAUAAAGGGCAAUGGGCUCUAUGACUGAUUCAAGUAUUUUUAGCUAGAUCCUAAUUGGGAUGUCGAAUUUUGUUCCUUUUGAUGGCAUGGAAUGCCCUUCUUGCCUUGUCUUUUAGAUUGGUCACAGCUUUGUGGAAGUUACCUGUGGCGACCGAGGUUUGUAUAGUUUUUUUUUGUGUGCUCUAGGGCAACGGAAUUUGUAUUUGUUGUCUUGGCGACUGGUCCUUUUUUGGAACACCAUCAUUUUUGUCUUCCUGAGAUUUACUGUCAGGGCCCAGGUCUGUCAGAAUCUGUGCAGAAGAUCUAGGUGCUGCUGUAGGCCCUCCUUGGUUGGUGACAGAAGCACCAGUAGACAUCAGCAAACAGUAGACAUUUGACUUCAGAUUCUAGUAGGGUGAGGCCGGGUGCUGCAGACUGUUCUAGCGCCCUCGGCAAUUUGUUGAUAUAUAUGUUGAAGAGGGUGGGGCUUAAGCUGCAUCCCUGUCUCACCCCCCGGCCCUGAGGAAUGAAAUGUGUUUAUUUCCCAAUUUUAACCUCACACUUCUUUGUCUACGUGGAUUUCAUAAUGUCAUACGUUUUCCCCCAAACACCACUUUCCAACAAUUUGUAUUCAAAAGAUUUUUUUAAAUCAACAAGGCAUGGGAAGACUUUGCCUUUGUUUUGGUUUGAUUGUCAAUCAUGGUUGUGAAUACAUGGUCUGUCGUACGGUAAUUUGGUCAAAAGCCAAUUUGACAUUUGCUCAGUACAUUGUUUUCACUGAGGAAAACAAUGUCUCUCUCUGCUCUCAUCACUCUACUCUGCUCUCAUCACUCUACUCUACUCUGCUCUCAUCUCUGCUCUCAUCUCUCUACUCUACUCUGCUCUCAUCACUCUACUCUACUCUGCUCUCAUCUCUCUACUCUGCUCUCAUCUCUGCUCUCAUCUCUCUACUCUACUCUGCUCUCAUCUCUCUACUCUGCUCUCAUCUCUCUACUCUACUCUCAUUACUAUACUCUACUCUCUACUCUGCUCUCAUUACUAUACUCUACUCUCUACUCUACCCUCAUUACUAUACUCUACUCUACUCUACUCUCAUCACUCUACUCUACUCUGCUCUCAUCGCUCUGCUCUCAACUCUCUGCUCUGCUCAACUCUCUGCUCUCAUCUCUCUACUCUGCUCUCAUCUCUCUGCUCUCAUCUCUCUGCUCUACUCUGCUCUCAUCUCUCUACUCUACUCUGCUCUCAUCUGCUCUGCUCUCAUCUCUCUACUCUGCUCUCAUCUGCUCUGCUCUCAUCUCUCUGCUCUACUCUGCUCUCAUCUCUCUGCUCUACUCUGCUCUCAUCUCUCUGCUCUACUCUGCUCUCAUCUCUCUACUCUACUCUGCUCUCAUCUCUCUGCUCUACUCUGCUCUCAUCUCUCUACUCUACUCUGCUCUCAUCUCUCUACUCUACUCUGCUCUCAUCUCUCUACUCUACUCUGCUCUCAUCUCUCUGCUCUCUGCUCAUCUCUCUACUCUACUCUGCUCUCACCUCUCUACUCUACUCUCAUCUCUCUACUCUACUCUGCUCUCAUCUCUCUACUCUACUCUCAUCUCUCUACUCUACUCUGCUCUCAUCUCUCUACUCUACUCUGCUCUCAUCUCUCUACUCUACUCUCAUCUCUCUACUCUACUCUGCUCUCAUCUCUCUACUCUACUCUCAUCUCUCUACUCUACUCUGCUCUCAUCUGCUCUGCUCUCAUCUCUCUGCUCUACUCUGCUCUCAUCUCUCUACUCUGCUCUCAUCUCUCUACUCUACUCUACUCUGCUCUCAUCUCUCUGCUCUGCUCUGCUCUCAUCUCUCUGCUCUGCUCUCUGCUCUCAUCUCUCUACUCUACUCUGCUCUCAUCUCUCUACUCUACUCUACUCUACUCUCAUCUCUCUACUCUACUCUGCUCUCAUCUCUCUACUCUGCUCUCAUCUCUCUACUCUACUCUACUCUGCUCUCAUCUCUCUGCUCUGCUCUGCUCUCUGCUCUGCUCUCAUCUCUCUGCUCUGCUCUCCUCUCUCUCUGUUCCCUUCAGUGUAUUUCUGCUCAGUCCGACAUUCCCUUAUUAUUUUUUUCAUUCUCAAUUCAGUGACGCGUUUUCGGCUCUGCGUCACACAGCUCUCACACACACACACUCGAUGACCGCAGUGAUCCGCGUGCUGGGUGGUAACGUGUGGGGGAGGGGAGAAGUGGCUCGUGGGGGGUAGGAUAUAGGGGGCGUAUGAAUGGCGUUGAGCGUCAAUGAAAGGCUUUGUGCAUUCAUAAUUCUCUGUUCAGCAUUGUGUUCAUUUUGGUUGAUUUGUAUCAUAAUCCAUGGGGGGGGGAGAGAUCAUUGCACCAUAUAUUCUAUGACUUCUAAAUAUUUCAUAGAGGUCAAAUCAUUUGGAGUGAUGAACUGCAGUGGUCUAUAUUCUGUAUUGACAUUGGACAGAUGUAGAAGUGUAACACAGGCUGCUGAGGGAGGACGACUCAUGAUGGGGUGGCAGGUAGUCUAGUGGUUAGAGUGUAGGGGGGUUAGGUAGUCUAGUGGUUAGAGUGGAGGUCUAGUAUCCAUAAAGGUUGCUAGAUCGAAUCCCCGAGCUGACACGGUACAAAUCUGUCAUUCUGCCCCUGAACAAGGCAGUUAACCCACUGUUCCUAGACCAGUUAACCCACUGUUCCUAGACCAGUUAACCCACUGUUCCUAGACCAGUUAACCCACUGUUCCUAGACCGUCAUUGAAAAUAAAUAUUUGUUCUUAACUGACUUGCCUAAAUAUACUGUAUUGUAUUCUAUACUGACUGUUAAAUGAAGAGAAAAAUAAAUUAAAAUAAAUAAUAACGGCCGGCACGGAGCGAAUGGCAUCAAACACCUGGAAACCAUGGAAACCCCUGUGUUUAAUGUAUUUGAUACCUUU
ensembl:lncRNA